AGAACCAGAAAGGUUGAGGAUAGAAGAAAGUGAUUCAGGUGAUCGGCAGAAAACACGAAGUAGGGGAUCCUCCAAAAAAACAAAACUGAACUGGAAUUCAGACUCGACAGAUUACGAUAGUGA